AAUAGAUACCCCGGUAGUCCACCCCGUAAACGUUGGGAACUAGUUGUGGGGUCCUUUCCACGGAUUCCGUGACGCAGCUAACGCAUUAAGUUCCCCGCCUGGGGGAGUACGGCCGCAAGGCUAAAACUCAAAGGAAUUGACGGGGACCCGCACAAGCGGCGGAGCAUGCGGAUUAAUUCGAUGCAACGCGAAGAACCUUACCAAGGCUUGACAUACACGAGAACGGGCCAGAAAUGGUCAACUCUUUGGACACUCGUGAACAGGUGGUGCAUGGUUGUCGUCAGCUCGUGUCGUGAGAUGUUGGGUUAAGUCCCGCAACGAGCGCAACCCUCGUUCUAUGUUGCCAGCACGUAAUGGUGGGAACUCAUGGGAUACUGCCGGGGUCAACUCGGAGGAAGGUGGGGAUGACGUCAAAUCAUCAUGCCCCUUAUGUCUUGGGCUUCACGCAUGCUACAAUGGCCGGUACAAUGGGCUGCGAUACCGUAAGGUGGAGCGAAUCCCAAAAAGCCGGUCCCAGUUCGGAUUGAGGUCUGCAACUCGA
rnacentral:rRNA from 1 species